rnacentral:rRNA from 1 species
UGGCAUUCAUUAGCGGCAUCGCUUUUGGAUUAAAGAUUUANCGGUAACGGAUGGGGAUGCGUGACAUUAGGUAGAUGGCGGGGUAACGGCCCACCAUGCCUACGAUGUCUAGGGGUUCUGAGAGGAAGGUCCCCCACACUGGAACUGAGACACGGUCCAGACUCCUACGGGAGGCAGCAGUGAGGAAUAUUGGUCAAUGGUCGGAAGACUGAACCAGCCAAGUAGCGUGAAGGAUGAAGGUUCUAUGGAUUGUAAACUUCUUUUAUACGGGAAUAAAACCUCCCACGUGUGGGAGCUUGUAUGUACCGUAUGAAUAAGCAUCGGCUAACUCCGUG